UCUGUACUUUAACAUGGAGGUAUUUGCUGGCUAUUUUUAAAGUAAGUGCUUCUAUGUUUUAGUACUGC